rnacentral:misc_RNA from 1 species
CGAUAAAUUAUAAUCUAUAAUGUUUAUUUUAUUGUUUUUGACAAAAUAGUUUGAAGUUCUAAAAGUUGAAGUGACAAAAUCGUUUCUUCCAUAGAACUUGAUCGAUGGAAAAUGAAAAUCCCUACCUCUGAAUAACCAACCCAAAACUCAUCAUUUUCCAUAGUAGUCGGUGAACUUUAGAUCGUGCAAAUACGAUUUCAAGCAACGAUAAGACUGAUAUCAGCUCGAUGUUGCGAUUCAACUGAAACUCCUUCAUGCUUAGUGAAAAAUAAUGAUGUCUCGGGAAAAAUUUAGAAUUGCAACACAUUGUAUCUCUCUUGCUGGUAAAAAUCAUGUUUAGAUCAGAUGUGUUUCAAAACCUCUCCCAGAACUAGGCCCCAUUGAGUCCAGUGACUGCCACCCUGCAUUCCAGAAUUGAAGAAGCAGCAAAAUUCAAGUUGUGUUGUGCCAAAUAGAUUAACCACCAUUUAGUGUAAUUAUUCAGUUAUUUGAGAUCACACCUCUCCUUCAAUGAAUCAACAUUCAUGGAAGGAAACAACAUCAACCAGACACACCUGGCAAAACACAGCAAAUGGCUCCCUGAGUGGCCCAUCACAUGACAGUUCACUUGUACUCCCAUCAAUGAAGGUUCCAUCAGCAAAGAUCACCUCUGAUGCAUAUCCAGUAGUUGAGCCAGCAACUGGCUUAGUGAAUGAACCCACUGGUGAGCUUCUCUGUACAGCCUCACAGAAUGCAAGAAGAUGUUCACGGCUUCCAAGUUGCACUGCCUGGACUGUAUCAUGACGGGCAAUGCGAGGUAGAGGCUGCACCUUAUACCCUCUAGAUGCCAUGACUUCAGCGAUCAGAAAGGUUCCCUUGAUUGCCUCACCAACCAUUUGAGGUGAAAGGAACAGCCCCUGAAAAUAAGUUCGCAUGAUAUCACCAGGGGUUGAGCCACAUUCCAUGCCAAGCCCUGGUGCAGAGAGACGAGCUGCUGCUGCUUCUACCCAUUUUUUCCUCCCUGCAACAUAUCCACCACAUGGUGCAAUGGUUCCACCUGGAUUUUUAAUCAAACUGCCUGCAAUCAGAUCUGCACCCACCAUUGGAGGUUCAAUUUUCUCAACAAAUUCACCAUAGCAAUUAUCCACCAUGACCAAGCAGUUAGGAUUCUGCAUCUUGAUCAUCUCUAUAGCCCUCCCUAUCUCAUUUACACUUAAACUUCGACGCCAUGAAUAACCACAUGACCUCUGAAUGAGAGCACAUCUUGUAUGAGGUUUCAAAGCACUCAUAAGUGCAUCCCAGUCAAGUCCACCAUCUUCAGCCAGUGGAACUUCUCGGUACUCCACUCCAAAAUCUUUCAGGGAACCUAAUCCAUGAGAGUCCCUCUUUCCAAUAACUUCCUCUAAGGUGUCAUAAGGAGCACCAGCAACUCAUCCCCUGGCCUCAAGAAAGCAAACAAUGCACAAGUGAUAGCAUGGGUUCCUGAGAAAAACUGUGAGCGAACUAUUGCUGAUUCAGCUCCUACAAUUUCAGCAAAAGCUUGGUCAAGUGCCUCACGUCCCCCAACUUCAUCAUGACCAUAGCCAGUAGAUCCACCAAAGUGAUGAGAUCCAAUCCGAGCAUUCUGGAAAGCUUUAAGGACACGAGAAGUAUUGCACGCCACCAAAUAAUCCACAGCUCUGAAUUCUGCAUGCAAGGAAUCUAGGGCUUUCACAACCUCAGGAACAAAUGGAUUGUCAUGGCGGUGGAAAGAAACUUGAGUUCUUGAACAAGCUUUAACGGGCAUGAAAACGCUCACCGAUUGCCCAGGAUAAGCAAGAGUGGCGCAGCACAAGGCCUGCAUCUUCAUUACUCGGUUCCAGUGUUAGGAGCUGUAGGAGCCUGGAGGGACUUGUA